UACGGGGGGGGCAAACGUUGUUCGGAAUUACUGGGCGUAAAGGGCUCGUAGGCGGCCAACUAAGUCAGACGUGAAAUCCCUCGGCUUAACCGGGGAACUGCAUCUGAUACUGGAUGGCUUGAGUUCGGGAGAGGGAUGCGGAAUUCCAGGUGUAGCGGUGAAAUGCGUAGAUAUCUGGAGGAACACCGGUGGCGAAGGCGGCAUCCUGGACCGACACUGACGCUGAGGAGCGAAAGCCAGGGGAGCAAACGGG
rnacentral:rRNA from 1 species